UACGUAGGGUGCAAGCGUUAAUCGGAAUUACUGGGCGUAAAGCGUGCGCAGGCGGUUAUGUAAGUCAGUUGUGAAAUCCCCGGGCUCAACCUGGGAACUGCAUCUGUGACUGCAUAGCUAGAGUACGGUAGAGGGGGAUGGAAUUCCGCGUGUAGCAGUGAAAUGCGUAGAUAUGCGGAGGAACACCGAUGGCGAAGGCAAUCCCCUGGACCUGUACUGACGCUCAUGCACGAAAGCGUGAGGAGCAAACAGG
rnacentral:rRNA from 1 species